GCGGAAGUGGCGAAAAGGCAGACGCGCUGGAUUCAGAUUCCAGUGGGUUUUCCCGUGAGGGUUCAAAUCCCUCCUUCCGCACCA
rnacentral:tRNA from 1 species